rnacentral:rRNA from 1 species
GAUGAACGCUGGCGGCGUGCCUAAUACAUGCAAGUCGAGCGAACAGACGAGGAGCUUGCUCCUCUGACGUUAGCGGCGGACGGGUGAGUAACACGUGGAUAACCUACCUAUAAGACUGGGAUAACUUCGGGAACCCGGAGCUAAUACCGGACAAUAUAUUGAACCGCAUGGUUCAAUAGUGAAAGACGGUUUUGCUGUCACUUAUAGAUGGAUCCGCGCCGCAUUAGCUAGUUGGUAAGGUAACGGCUUACCAAGGCAACGAUGCGUAGCCGACCUGAGAGGGUGAUCGGCCACACUGGAACUGAGACACGGUCCAGACUCCUACGGGAGGCAGCAGUAGGGAAUCUUCCGCAAUGGGCGAAAGCCUGACGGAGCAACGCCGCGUGAGUGAUGAAGGUCUUCGGAUCGUAAAACUCUGUUAUUAGGGAAGAACAAAUGUGUAAGUAACUAUGCACGUCUUGACGGUACCUAAUCAGAAAGCCACGGCUAACUACGUG